UACGGAGGGUGCGAGCGUUAAUCGGAAUUACUGGGCGUAAAGGGCAUGUAGGUGGCGGCGUAAGUCGGGUGUGAAAGCCCCGGGCUCAACCUGGGAAUUGCAUUUGAGACUGCAUUGCUGGAGGACGGACGGGGAGGUCGGAAUUCCCGGUGUAGCGGUGAAAUGCGUAGAUAUCGGGAGGAACAUCAGUGGCGAAGGCGGUCUUCUGGUUCAUUCCUGACACUGAAGUGCGAAAGCGUGGGGAGCAAACAGG
rnacentral:rRNA from 1 species